GGAUCAAUACGUCGGUCGUGCCUUGGUACGUACUAACGUUAUUGAUUUCUCCCUUCUAACAAAUCGUGAUGUCAUUAAUUUGGUGUUACGGGGAGUUAGGACUAUUACUUUGAAAAAAUUAGAGUGUUUAAAGCAGGCAAUCGCUCGAAUACAUUAGCAUGGAAUAAUGAAAUAGGACGUUCGAACCUAUUUUGUUGGUUUCUAGGAUCGACGUA
rnacentral:rRNA from 1 species